GACGAACGCUGGCGGCGUGCUUAACACAUGCAAGUCGAACGGAAAGGCCCUGCUUUUGUGGGGUGCUCGAUUGGCGAACGGGUGAGUAACACGUGAGUAACCUGCCCUUGACUUUGGGAUAACUUCAGGAAACUGGGGCUAAUACCGGAUAGGAGCUCCUGCUGCAUGGUGGGGGUUGGAAAGUUUCGGCGUUUGUGGCUGGACUCGCGGCUUAUCAGCUUGUUGGUGGGGUAGUUGCUUACCAAGGCUUUGACGGGUAGCCGGCCUGAGAGGGUGACCGGCCACAUUGGGCCUGAGAUACGGCCCAGAAUCGUACCGGCGGCAGCAGUGGGGAAUAUUGCACAAUGGGCGGAAGCCUGAUGCAGCAACGCCGCGUGCGGGAUGACGGCCUUCGGGUUGUAAACCGCUUUCGCCUGUGACGAAGAGUGAGUGACGGUAAUGGGUAAAGAAGCACCGGCUAACUACGUG
rnacentral:rRNA from 1 species